AUUGCAUGAUAAAAACUCCGGUGGUAUGAGAUGGACCCGCGUCUGAUUAGCCAGUUGGCGGGGUAACGGCCCACCAAAGCGACGAUCAGUAGCCGACCUGAGAGGGUGACCGGCCACAUUGGGACUGAGACACGGCCCAAACUCCUACGGGAGGCAGCAGUGGGGAAUAUUGCACAAUGGGGGAAACCCUGAUGCAGCGACGCCGCGUGAGCGAAGAAGUAUUUCGGUAUGUAAAGCUCUAUCAGCAGGGAAGAAAAUGACGGUACCUGACUAAGAAGCACCGGCUAAAUACGUGCCAGCAGCCGCGGUAAUACGUAUGGUGCAAGCGUUAUCCGGAUUUACUGGGUGUAAAGGGAGCGCAGGCGGUACGGCAAGUCUGAUGUGAAAUCCCGGGGCUCAACCCCGGUACCGCAUUGGAAACUGUCGGACUAGAGUGUCGGAGGGGUAAGUGGAAUUCCUAGUGUAGCGGUGAAAUGCGUAGAUAUUAGGAGGAACACCAGUGGCGAAGGC
rnacentral:rRNA from 1 species